UGACCUACCUUGCCGCGGAUCCCACGGGGUCUGCACCAUGGCGGUGUUCGGUUGGAGGGGCUGCAGUGGUGAGCGCGCAUGGGUGGCCGUCGUAGGCGCGAGCACAGGUUGCUACAGCCGGCGGCAUGGGCACAGACUUCUCCACGCAAGCACUCCUGAAGACCUGGCCGCGCCUCUUCCUCUUCCCAUCUGGCCCUCCUUGACAUCAACCAUGGAGACCGCUUCCUCCAUAUGGCGGCACCCCUUACCCCCUCCCCACCUGCAGCCGCACCCCCUUCUCCAACGGAUAUCUUCUUCCCCAACCGGCGGAUUUAUUGCACAGAGAUGGCAGAGUGGAAAGCCAGAUACUAGGAGAAGUUUGGCUUCGUGUUUAUGAUUUGUGCCUCUCAGAGGACUGCACCUGAGCCUGGGUAAGCUAAGGUCACCAGUGGCUUGCAACAACUUCCUGAUGCUUCUUGCAGAGAUUGUGCAGGUCAUGCUAGACAAGUGCUAUAUUUUGCAGGAGUCAUAAGGUAGCAUCAAGGUAAAAAAAGAAAAUUGUAUUUGUAGUGCAUUUUGGAGUAUUCCAUCAGAGUGAUUCAAUCCUACAUCCUACUUCAAGAAUGUUAUUCUCACGUACCAUUUGAUAAUGUGUAGCAGCCUGCCAAUGUAAUUAUAUCCUUUUGAUUCAAGGUAAAAAAAGAAAAUUGUAUUUGUAGUGCAUUUUGGAGUAUUCCAUCAGAGUGAUUCAAUCCUACAUCCUACUUCAAGAAUGUUAUUCUCACGUACCAUUUGAUAAUGUGUAGCGGCCUGCCAAGGGGUUAAGCACUCGCUCUUCCAUGCUCCAGCAGCUUAAGGAGCAUGAGAAUGGACUUGUACAUGAAAAUAACAGACACAUCAUUUCAAAACCUACCUAUCUAACUGUAAACUUCUUGUGGCUAUCAAUCUCGGGUGUUGUGACCAUAACUGAUACUGCAUUUCUGAUGGUGUGGUGGUGAAGCCAAAUUGGUGGGAGAGAUGACUUGCAGUGUAUAUUAUUAAAAUCACAAUGUGCAUUAAUAUUUGUAUUUACUUGAGCAUGUGUACAGUGAAAAACUCAGCAGUCUGAGUUGCACAAUGCAAAUUUACUUCAGUUAAAACAUUAA